GUCCACGCCCUAAACGAUGUCUACUAGUUGUCGGGGAUUCGUUUCCUUGGUAACGCAGCUAACGCGUGAAGUAGACCGCCUGGGGAGUACGGCCGCAAGGGUUAAAACUCAAAGGAAUUGACGGGGACCCGCACAAGCGGUGGAUGAUGUGGAUUAAUUCGAUGCAACGCGAAAACCUUACCUACGCUUGACAUGCCAGAAACCCCCGCAGAGAUGUGGGGGUGCCCGAAAGGGAAUCUGGACACAGGUGCUGCAUGGCUGUCGU
rnacentral:rRNA from 1 species